rnacentral:lncRNA from 1 species
UAAAACAUUGUAUGGCAGAGUUCUAGAAUAAGUCAUGCAAGACUUUUAUUCAUAUAACUUGUUUGGCCUUUAUAAGUGCAAACCAUGACAGAACUAGUAUAUAGAAUUUGUCUUGUAAUACAACAGUAGUUUUAAACAGGCAAUGAAGCAGCAUCAAAUACAAUAUUUGUUGAGCAUUAUAUUGAUUCUAUUGACAAUUAUUUUAGUAUUCAUUAUAUGAAAGGUAUUGCCUUUUAUUGAUAUUUUCCUGUGAUCUUUCUGUAUAAAUUUCAAUCUCAUACUACAGAUUGGUUUUAAACUUUUUUCUUAUUCAAGUAGAAAGAGAAUGUAUGCCAUCAUAUGUAUGAUAUGAAUACUUCAUUUAUAAUAUUUAGAAAAAUUGUGAUUAAACAAUAAUCAAUAGUCCUUUUAACUUGGCUUCACCUCUUCUCGGGAUUAUUGCCCUUUAAUGAGAUUGUAGCCGAGAAACUCAUUCUAGUUUGGAGAACCUCUGAUAAUCUAUGAAUUUUAUAACUAUACUUUGUAUUAUAACACAAUUAAAGUGUCUGAAUUUCCUAGAGUAGUGUAUAUUAUAUUCUUGGGAGAGUGAAAGUUGCUAUAUGAUACAGAAUUUCAUUGUACUGAAUUUUAAUAUACAAUGUAGCAGACAUUUAAUUUUACUUUUUUUUAAGUUAAGCCCAGAUUUAUCAUAUAAUCAUAAAUACCCUGUGCAAAUCAUACAAUUUUUCCACUGGUUAAUCAACUUUAUUUGUAAAUUUCUCUCAGUCAUGCUGACAUUAAUAUCAAUAUUGAAAAGAAUUGACAUCUUACAAAAAAGGGUUGUUUAAGGUAGUACCAAACGCCUGGACUAAAAUUAAUUUGGCUUGUUUAAUUAUAAAAAAAUUUAUACAAAAUAUUUACAUUGACGGUUUGACAAAAAUAUAGAAAUUCAUAUAAAUUGAACCACACAUUUUAUUGGAAAAAUUUCAUUGGAUAUAUAGCAGUUUGACAAACACUAAGUUUGAUCAUCGAGAAGCUUUAUAUUUUCGUAACAACAGAACGGUAUUUAAACAUUCAUGUAAUUUUAAGAGUUGUCUCCCCAUAUUGUUUUGUACCCCCUUAAGAAAUGAAAGAAUUGUAUGCUGCAAGAUUUACUACUUUAAAUUUGUUAUUUGAAUUUGGCUAAUGUUUAGAUUAAAGAUUUUUUUGUUAUAGUUUUUUUACUAUUGGAUAGGGCAGCUACUAACUAGGUUAAUUUUGUAAAUGGUUAUUAAAGGGGAUAUAAACUACUGACACAGAUAGUCAUUUCUUACAAAUAAAGUUAUGAAAAAACUAUGAUCAUUUAGAUACUCUGUAUGGCUCAACCAAGCAUUUGAUAGAUUGUGGUUUAUAAAGCUAUAUAGUUUAGAACUAACAUCUAACUUUUGUGUUCAGUUAAACUCUUCUUUGGUUUUCCUUCUCUAAAAUAGAAUAUUUGUCACCUAUAUAGCUGUUAAUAUAAAGCUAAUCCUGACUAAAUAAAAGUACAAAGGUCUUACUUAUAAUUAGAAUUUAGUUUUUAAUAUACUAUAUCAUCCUUGAAAAUAAUUCAGAAGGGGCUUGCUGUAUUCUCCAACUGAAACAACAGUUAAUAAAAACUAGGAAAAACUAGAUAAUGAUUAAAAAAGUAUUUUGUACUAAGUAAAUGUUUGUUGUAAUAUUUAACUUUUUUUUUAAAUACGAACAUAUAUAAAGUCAUGGUGAACAUUUCCUAGUUUCUUCUGAAAAUAUGAAGGAAGUUUGCAUUGAAAAAAUACAUGAUUAAUAUUUUAGUGUUUCGAAGAAUUGAAAUGUCUUAUAUCUUAGUAAAAUGUGAUUUUCUUAUCCACUACAUUAGUGGGACCAUAGAUGUAGAUAUUUUGAAUGAGCACAAUACAUUAUAUGUUCCUAAUGAAAAGUUAUUUAUAAAGGGGGGUUGGUUAUUAUUAUUAUUAUUUCUGUUUGUUUUUCUUACAAUGCCAAACACUUGUCAUGCUAUUCUAAAGUGUCCUUACUAUAUGCAAUUGCUAAAGCAAAUUCAAAUUUGUCCUUUUUAGAAUAGAAAGCAUUUUUGGUAAUAUUUUCAAACUGCAACUUAAAAUUUCAAUUGGUUUUCAAUGAUCUAACUAGAUAUUCAACCAAAGAAUUGUGUUAUUAUUUUAUAGAUUUUUGUGUGUAAGAACGGUGGAAUAUUUAAUUGCUAAAAUGAUAAAUUAAUUUGAUGAUAUUCAGAUAAAAGAUAGAUACAAAAUAAAUCCUCUUGAUGUCUUCUUGUUGUGUGAUACUUUGCAAACUUUUCAUAAAAAAAAAUAACAAUUGUAUUUAGAUAUUUGCUGAUAUCAGUGUGCGAUAUCUUGUCUUGAACUCUUUCUCUUCUUAACUGAUGCAUUACUGUUAUAAAAAAGUGAUCAAUUUUUGUUAUGCUUUCAUUUGCUUUAAGAGGCAUAUUUUUUUGAUGUGAUAAUUUAUUUAUUUAUUCAUUUAUUUAUUUCUUUAAAUGACCCUAUAAUUUUAGUAUUUAAUUAAUUUAUUUAUUUAUUUAAAUGACCCUAUAAUUUUAGUAUUUAAUUUAUUUAUUACUCUGCUUUUAACAGUGCCAACAGUAUUGAAAUGUAUAUUUGUUCUGUGAUACUUUAGAUUAUAAUUACUUAUUUUGCAUAUUCAGUAUUGCAUGUACUAACAAUGUUAUAUCUUUUGUUUUGUUCAUUUAUGUUAUACCUUCACUCUUAGAGAGUUGGGGCAGGUACUUUGCAUUUACCUUUUCCUUUCGUCUGUCUGUCUACCUGUUCAUCAAACAUUUUUUUCUUCAGUAUUACCUAAAAAGAAUAACUUUAUAUUUGGUCAGCACUUCAACAUUGAUGAGUUUCUACUGGUGAGGACUUUUUGGAUCUGUACAGCACCUACUUCUUGUUUUCCAAUUCUUUGAAUUACUAGUGGGGGUAUGCUUAUAUAACAGAACCACAUUGCAUGCAUUUUUGUUUAUAUGUGUUUAGGUUUUUUAUUAGUUACAUGUGUCUUUGUUUGUUAUUUUAUUUGUUGAAGCGUAGAUGACUAAAAAGCCUGGCUUUGAACAUCUAUUGUUAAAAUAUUUUUUACAUAUAUAUUUUAGUCUUAGGCAUCAGAAUUCCACAUGUUUUGUAUAAAUAUACCUAAUAAGUGAUGGUAGGUAUAAAAACUUACUAAUUGAAAUCGUUAACUUUUGUUAACAGAAACUUUGUCUUAUAUAUAGUGUAUCCUUGUAAUAGUGACCAUUUUUGGGCUAAGCCACCAAUAGUUAUAGAUUCUAUAUAUUUAUAAGAAAGGUACUUUAUCACUACAAUCUAAAUAUAUAGUUCAUUACAGUUCUUACACAUUGAGUUCACAGCAAUCUACGUUAUGAGAUGUCUUAAGAUUUUGUCAAUCAUUGAUUUGUUUAUUUAUCUAUUACCUUAUAAUUCGGACCAAAGUUACUGAUAGCAACUUGAUAGUGUUCUAAUAUUUAAACAUUUUUGCUUAUAGGAAUUCUUACCAUAACUUGUAAAAUAUUUUUUGAUAUAGGGCAUUAUCUUAUAGUCUAAUUUAUUUCUUUGUUCCAUUCAUUUUCAUGGCUCUCUAAUAAAACAAAGAUUUUAUUAUUAUUUUUGUAGAUCUUCUAGUCAAUAAAUCUUAAGCAGUAUAAUUUCAAAAUUUAAAUAACAGUGAAAUCAGCAUCUUGCAAGAUCUGUGAAUUUUAGGAGUUUGGAGUCGAGACAUAUUGUCUACCUUUCAGAAGUUUUAUGGUUCUUUUUUCAAAUAGAAUGAAUCUGUAGUAUUCCUUCAUAUUUUUGAAGUUAAUGAUUUGCUCUCGUAAAUAUUAGAAAAUUUGAUGUUUGUAGUACAAAUGAAAGACAUAAAUAUGUUAAAAAUGUAUCAUGGGGUUGAAAGAUAUACUACUGUUUUAUUUUGAUUCCUCCUUAUAUAAUUUUCUAUCUGACAGUGGAAUUAAUAGCGCAUUAGUUAAAUUACUCCAAAUGAUGUUUCAUAUACAAGCUUAUAGGAAUACUUUUGUUGUUGUAAAAACUAUAUGCCAAUUUUGCCUUAUUUGACAGUCUUACACCAAACUGCACCUUCUAAAGAAGUGAACUAUCUAAACACACUGCCAGAUUUAAUUUUAUGGUACACAUGUAGUAUUUUACCCAAUUGGUACUAUUUUAAUUUAGAGACAAAUCACUUCGGUAAUAUAGUAUAUUUUGGUUUUCUUUUGAACACUUUCAGCAUUAGACACAAUCAAUAAAAUACCUUUGAACAUUUAUAUACCUUGUUUUCCCAGACAACCACAAGAAUAUUUAUUAUUUUAAACUUUUUACCAA